rnacentral:rRNA from 1 species
UACGUAGGGUGCGAGCGUUAAUCGGAUUUACUGGGCGUAAAGGGCGCGUAGGCGGUCAGCACAAGUCAGUUGUGAAAUCUCCGGGCUUAACUCGGAAAGGUCAACUGAUACUGUGCGACUAGAGUGCAGAAGGGGCAACUGGAAUUCUCGGUGUAGCGGUGAAAUGCGUAGAUAUCUGGAGGAACACCGGUGGCGAAGGCGGCAUCCUGGACCAACACUGACGCUGAGGAGCGAAAGCCAGGGGAGCAAACGGG